rnacentral:rRNA from 1 species
GUCUAUGGCCACACCACCCCGAACACACCUGAUCCCCCCUGAUCUCGGAAGCUAAGCAGGGUCAGGCCUGGUUAGUACUUGGAUUGGAGACCACCUAGGAAGACUGGGGGCUGUAAGUG